UAAAAGGGCUUCUGUCAUGAGUGACACACCCAGAGCAACUCGAUUGCUCUGCAUGCAGAAUCAACACCAAGGGAUUUCGGAAGCAUAAUUUUUCUGGGCAGCUUGUGAUCGUUGGUCCUAGGCACUCAU